rnacentral:rRNA from 1 species
AUCAUUACAGAGUUUUCCAAACUCCCAACCCUAUGUGAACUUACCUUUGUUGCUUCGGCGGCGGAGGCUACCCUAUAGGGGAUACCACAUAGUGGUUACCCUGUAGUCCCAGGUGCUAGAUCGUGCUCAACGUCUUAUCGUCUACGACUAGCUACCCGGUGGCCCCCCCCGCCGGCGGCCAACUAAACUCUGUUUUUAUGGCAUUCUGAAUUAUAAACUUAAUAAGUUAAAACUUUCAACAACGGAUCUCUUGGUUCUGGCAUCGAUGAAGAACGCAGCGAAAUGCGAUAAGUAAUGUGAAUUGCAGAAUUCAGUGAAUCAUCGAAUCUUUGAACGCACAUUGCGCCCAUUAGCAUUCUAGUGGGCAUGCCUGUUCGAGCGUCAUUUCACCACUUAAGCCCUGUUGCUUAGCGUUGGGAGCCUACGGCACUGCCCGUAGCUCCCUAAAGUGAUUGGCGGAGUUGGUUCUCACUCUAGGCGUAGUAAAUCUAUCUCGCCUCUGUAGUGGUUCCGGCCCCUGCCGUAAAACCCCCUAUAUCAAAGGUUGACCUCGGAUCAGGUAGGAAUACCCGCUGAACUUAAGCAUAUCA